GCAGGCUUAAUACAUGCAAGUCGUGGGGCAGCAGGUUUGUAGCAAUACAGAUGCUGACGACCGGCAAACGGGUGCGGAACACGUACGCAACCUCCCUCCUUCUGGAAGAUAGCCCACCGAAAGGUGGAUUAAUACUCCAUAAUAUAUUGAAGUGGCAUCACUUUAAUAUUAAAGCUCCGGCGGAAAGAGAUGGGCGUGCGUCUGAUUAGGUAGUUGGCGGGGUAACGGCCCACCAAGCCUGCGAUCAGUAGCUGAUGUGAGAGCAUGAUCAGCCACACGGGCACUGAGACACGGGCCCGACUCCUACGGGAGGCAGCAGUAAGGAAUAUUGGUCAAUGGACGCAAGUCUGAACCAGCCAUGCCGCGUGGAGGAUGAAGGCCCUCUGGGUUGUAAACUUCUUUUCUCUGGGACGAAGCCCCCGAUUUCCAUCGGGCCUGACGGUACCAGAGGAAUAAGCACCGGCUAACUCCGUGCCAGCAGCCGCGGUAAUACGGAGGGUGCAAGCGUUAUCCGGAUUCACUGGGUUUAAAGGGUGCGUAGGUGGGCAAGUAAGUCAGUGGUGAAAUCUCUGGGCUUAACCCGGAAACUGCCAUUGAUACUAUUUGUCUUGAAUUCUCUGGAGGUAAGCGGAAUAUGUCAUGUAGCGGUGAAAUGCUUAGAUAUGACAUAGAACACCCAUUGCGAAGGCAGCUUACUACGGAGACAUUGACACUGAGGCACGAAAGCGUGGGGAUCAAACAGGAUUAGAUACCCUGGUAGUCCGCGCCCUAAACGAUGAUUACUCGACAUUAGCGAUAUUACUGUUAGUGUCUAAGCGAAAGCAUUAAGUAAUCCACCUGGGAAGUACGACCGCAAGGU
rnacentral:rRNA from 1 species